GCUUCAGGGCGGGGUGUAAUUCCCCACCGGUGGUAAAUUGGACUGAUUUUUAAUCAUGAACCAACAGCCCACGAGCCUAUCACUUGAAAUCAGUGAUUCGCAGAUUUGGUGAAAUACCAAAGCCGACGGUAUAGUCCGGAUGAAAGAAGACG
rnacentral:ncRNA from 1 species